rnacentral:rRNA from 1 species
GUGGCGAACGGGUGAGUAACACGUGAGCAAUCUGCCCUUGACUCUGGGAUAACUGCGGGAAACUGUAGCUAAUACCGGAUACUUUCCUCGCUGGGCAUCCAGCGGGGAAGAAGGAAUUUCGGUCAAGGAUGAGCUCGCGGCCUAUCAGCUAGUUGGUGAGGUAAAGGCUCACCAAGGCGACGACGGGUAGCCGGCCUGAGAGGGUGACCGGCCACACUGGAACUGAGACACGGUCCAGACUCCUACGGGAGGCAGCAGUGGGGAAUAUUGCACAAUGGGCGAAAGCCUGAUGCAGCAACGCCGCGUGAGGGAUGAAGGCCUUCGGGUUGUAAACCUCUUUUAGCAGGGAAGAAGCGAAAGUGACGGUACCUGCAGAAAAAGCACCGGCUAACUACGUGCCAGCAGCCGCGGUAAUACGUAGGGUGCAAGCGUUGUCCGGAAUUAUUGGGCGUAAAGAGCUCGUAGGCGGUUUGUCACGUCUGCUGUGAAAAUCCGAGGCUCAACCUCGGACUUGCAGUGGGUACGGGCAGGCUAGAGUGCGGUAGGGGAGAAGGGAAUUCCUGGUGUAGCGGUGGAAUGCGCAGAUAUCAGGAGGAACACCAAUGGCGAAGGCACUUCUCUGGGCCGUAACUGACGCUGAGGAGCGAAAGCGUGGGGAGCGAACAGGAUUAGAUACCCUGGUAGUCCAC